rnacentral:tRNA from 1 species
GUUGUGGCAGUUCAGUGGUAGAAUUUUUGCCUUCCAUGCAGGAGACCUGGUUCAAUUCCUGCCAACGCA